rnacentral:rRNA from 1 species
GAUUAUGGCUCAGGAUGAACGCUAGCUACAGGCCUAACACAUGCAAGUCGAGGGGCAGCAGAUCGAAGCUUGCUUUGAUGCUGGCGACCGGCGAAUGGGUGAGUCACGCGUGUCCAACCUGCCCUGGUGCCCGGGGAUAGCCCUUGGAAAUGAGGAUUAACACCCGAUAGGUGGCGCUUCCGCAUGGCGGCGCCAUGAAACCGACACAGGAUGGGGACGCGUCGGAUUAGCUUGACGGCGGGGCGACGGCCCACCGUGGCGACGAUCCGCAGGGGUUCUGAGAGGAAGGUCCCCCACACUGGCACUGAGACACGGGCCAGACUCCUACGGGAGGCAGCAGUGAGGAAUAUUGGUCAAUGGCCGAGAGGCUGAACCAGCCAAGUAGCCGUACAGGACGACGGCCCUACGGGUUGUAAACUGCUUUUGCGGGAGGAUAAAGGACGCCACGUGUGGCGUUUUGCAGGUAUCCCGUGAAUAAGGACCGGCUAAUUCCGUGCCAGCAGCUGC